rnacentral:rRNA from 1 species
AAGUCGUGACAAGGUUUCCGUAGGUGAACCUGCGGAAGGAUCAUUACCGAGUUCAUGCCCUUACGGGUAGAUCUCCCACCCUUUGUAUACUAUACCUUUGUUGCUUUGGCGGGCCGCCUAGCUACUGGCUUCGGCUGGUAUGUGCCCGCCAGAGGACCCAAAACCCUGAAUUAUUAGUGUCGUCUGAGUAAAAUAUUUAAUACUUAAAACUUUCAACAACGGAUCUCUUGGCUCUGGCAUCGAUGAAGAACGCAGCGAAAUGCGAUAAGUAAUGUGAAUUGCAGAAUUCAGUGAAUCAUCGAAUCUUUGAACGCACAUUGCGCCCCUUGGUAUUCCGAGGGGCAUGCCUAUUCGAGCGUCAUUAUCACCCCUCAAGCCUAGCUUGGUGUUGAGGCCUGCUGUCAAGGCAGCCUCUAAAAUCAGUGGCAGUGCUGUCAGGCUCUAAGCGUAGUAAAUCUAAUCGCUAUAGACACCUGGUGGACACUCGCCAGAACCCCCCCAUUUUUUAAUGAUUGACCUCGGAUUAGGUAGGGAUACCCGCUGAACUUAA